rnacentral:lncRNA from 1 species
CUCUCCUCUUUCUAAUUAAUCCAUGCCUCAGAAGGAAAUAAUAAGAGAGAAAAUAAGAAGAUUUAUUUGCCAACUAAUUGGCUUGAUCUGAUCUUUUUGAAACCUCAAAUAGGUAUCUCUCUAAACCCAAAUCAAAAUGAAUCUAGAUAAGGUUCAAAGUUAUAAACUUGAUUCAAUCUUUAUCUAAUAAGAAAUUCAAGUCUAGAGAAGAAUUGGGUUUAACCAUGUACUAGCGUG